CGCGGCCCCACCCUCACGGAGUUUACCGUCUAAUGGGGAAGACAGUGGUCACAGCACACAGAUAGGAGUAAAAUGUCAAAUUGUGGCUUCUACAAUCCCUCCCUAUCAUGUGGACGAAGGGCUUCCGCCUUCCAGGGAAGGUGAAUGAAACCAGUGUUUCGUCACCAUCUCCUCCAUCCUGACUUCCUGGGGUGUGUGCCAAGGUGCAGCUGAAAACCAUGAACUCUACACCCAGCGUGGGGCUCGAACUUACGAACCUGAGAUCAAGCUUUCUACCAAGUGAGUCAGCCAGCCACCCCAGUUGUCAAACAUUUUGAAUGUAAA